UACAGAGGUGGCUAGCGUUGUUCGGAAUUACUGGGCGUAAAGGGCGCGUAGGCGGCUUGGUCAGUCCCGUGUGAAAUCCCUCGGCUCAACUGAGGAACUGCACGGGAAACUGCCUGGCUUGAGUUCGGGAGAGGGAAGCGGAAUUCCGGGUGUAGCGGUGAAAUGCGUAGAUAUCCGGAGGAGCACUGGUGGCGAAGGCGGCAUCCUGGACUGGUCCUGACACUCAGGAGCGAAAGCGUGGGGAGCGAGCCGG
rnacentral:rRNA from 1 species